AUUGAACGCUGGCGGCAUGCCUUACACAUGCAAGUCGAACGGCAGCACGGGAGCAAUCCUGGUGGCGAGUGGCGAACGGGUGAGUAAUAUAUCGGAACGUGCCCAGUCGUGGGGGAUAACGCAGCGAAAGCUGUGCUAAUACCGCAUACGAUCUAAGGAUGAAAGCGGGGGAUCGCAAGACCUCGCGCGAUUGGAGCGGCCGAUAUCAGAUUAGCUAGUUGGUGGGGUAAAGGCCCACCAAGGCGACGAUCUGUAGCUGGUCUGAGAGGACGACCAGCCACACUGGAACUGUGAAACGGUCCAGACUCCUAAGGGAGGCAGCAGUGGGGAAUUUUGGACGAUGGGCGCAAGCCUGAUCCAGCGAUGCCGCGUGCAGGAUGAGGGCCGUCGGGUUGUAAACUGCUUUUGUACGGAACGAAACGGCCCUUUCUAAUACAGGGGGCUAAUGACGGUACCGUAAGAAUAAGCACCGGCUAACUACGUGCCAGCCGCCGCCGUAACAC
rnacentral:rRNA from 1 species